rnacentral:rRNA from 1 species
UACGAAGGGGGCUAGCGUUGUUCGGAGUUACUGGGCGUAAAGGGCGCGUAGGCGGCGCCUCAAGUCGGGUGUGAAAGCCCACGGCUCAACCGUGGAGGUGCAUUCGAGACUGAGGUGCUUGAGGACGGGAGAGGAUGGUGGAAUUCCCAGUGUAGAGGUGAAAUUCGUAGAUAUUGGGAAGAACACCGGUGGCGAAGGCGGCCAUCUGGACCGUUUCUGACGCUGAGGCGCGAAAGCGUGGGGAUCAAACAGG